AGCAAACGCUGGCGGCGUGCCUAAUACAUGCAAGUCGAACGAGGAAUUACCUUCGGGUAUAGUACUAGUGGCGCACGGGAGAGUAACACGUAGGUAAUCUGCCCUUAGGUGGGGAACAACCAGUCGAAAGGUUGGCUAAUACCCCAUAUGACCACGAUCACUAUGUGAACGGGGUAAAAGAUUUAUCGCCUAAGGAUGAGCCUGCGUCCCAUUAGCUUGAUGGUAGGGUAACGGCCUACCAUGGCUACGAUGGGUAGCUGGUCUGAGAGGAUGAUCAGUCUCACUGGAACUGAGACACGGUCCAG
rnacentral:rRNA from 1 species